rfam:Nocardiopsis sp. TSRI0078 scaffold6, whole genome shotgun sequence.
AAGAACCGACAGGGGAGCGCGUGAGCGCUGAGAGUGCGGCACCAGGCCGCAGACCCUUACACACCUGAUCUGGGUCAUGCCAGCGAAGGAAGUCGUAGGAACUCGUCA